CGAACGGGUGAGUAACGCGUGGGUAACCUGCCUUAUAGCGGGGGAUAACUAUUGGAAACGAUAGCUAAUACCGCAUAACAAUAGAGAUUGCAUAAUCUUUAUUUGAAAGUGCCAACUGGUACACUAUGAGAUGGACCCGCGUUGUAUUAGCUAGUUGGUAGUGUAAUGGACUACCAAGGCGAUGAUACAUAGCCGACCUGAGAGGGUGAUCGGCCACAUUGGGACUGAGACACGGCCCAAACUCCUACGGGAGGCAGCAGUAGGGAAUCUUCGGCAAUGGACGAAAGUCUGACCGAGCAACGCCGCGUGAGUGAAGAAGGUUUUCGGAUCGUAAAACUCUGUUGUUAGAGAAGAAUGUUGAUUAGAGUGGAAAAUUAAUCAAGUGACGGUAUCUAACCAGAAAGGGACGGCUAACUACGUGCCAGCAGCCGCGGUAAUACGUAGGUCCCGAGCGUUGUCCGGAUUUAUUGGGCGUAAAGCGAGCGCAGGUGGUUUAAUAAGUCUGAUGUAAAAGGCAGUGGCUCAACCAUUGUGUGCAUUGGAAACUGUUAGACUUGAGUGCAGUAGAGGAGAGUGGAAUUCCAUGUGUAGCGGUGAAAUGCGUAGAUAUAUGGAGGAACACCGGUGGCGAAAGCGGCUCUCUGGACUGUCACUGACACUGAGGCUCGAAAGCGUGGGUAGCAAACAGGAUCAGAUACCCUGGUAGUCCACGCCGUAAACGAUGAGUGCUAGUUGUUUGGGGCUAUCCAGCCCUAAGUGACGCAGCAAACGCAUUAAGCACUCCGCCUGGGGAGUACGACAGCAAGGUUGAAGCUCAAAGGAAUUGACGGGGGCCCGCACAAGCGGUGGAGCAUGUGGUUUAAUUCGAAGCAACGCGAAGAACCUUACCAGGUCUUGACAUACUCGUGCUA
rnacentral:rRNA from 1 species